UACAGAGGGGGCAAGCGUUGUUCGGAUUUACUGGGCGUAAAGGAUGCGUAGGCGGAUACUUAAGUCAGAUGUGAAAAUCCUGGGCUUAACUUGGGAACUGCAUUUGAAACUGGGUAUCUAGAGUGCGGGAGAGGAAAGCGGAAUUCCUAGUGUAGCGGUGAAAUGCGUAGAGAUUAGGAAGAACACCAGUGGCGAAGGCGGCUUUCUGGACCGUAACUGACGCUGAGGCAUGAAAGCGUGGGGAGCAAACAGG
rnacentral:rRNA from 1 species